GGUCGAUUAGCUCAGUUGGUAGAGCAGAGUCUCGAUAAGGCUUUGGUCAUAGGUUCGAAUCCUAUAUCGACUA
rnacentral:tRNA from 2 species